rnacentral:rRNA from 1 species
GUAGGGAAUCUUCCACAAUGGACGAAAGUCUGAUGGAGCAACGCCGCGUGAGUGAAGAAGGGUUUCGGCUCGUAAAGCUCUGUUGGUAGUGAAGAAAGAUAGAGGUAGUAACUGGCCUUUAUUUGACGGUAAUUACUUAGAAAGUCACGGCUAACUACGUGCCAGCAGCCGCGGUAAUACGUAGGUGGCAAGCGUUGUCCGGAUUUAUUGGGCGUAAAGCGAGUGCAGGCGGUUCAAUAAGUCUGAUGUGAAAGCCUUCGGCUCAACCGGAGAAUUGCAUCAGAAACUGUUGAACUUGAGUGCAGAAGAGGAGAGUGGAACUCCAUGUGUAGCGGUGGAAUGCGUAGAUAUAUGGAAGAACACCAGUGGCGAAGGCGGCUCUCUGGUCUGCAACUGACGCUGAGGCUCGAAAGCAUGGGUAGCGAACAGGA